UACAGAGGUCUCAAGCGUUGUUCGGAUUCAUUGGGCGUAAAGGGUGCGUAGGUGGCGCCGUAAGUCAGGUGUGAAAUCCCGGGGCUCAACCCCGGAACUGCACUUGAUACUGCGGUGCUCGAGUACUGGAGAGGAGAUUGGAAUUCAUGGUGUAGCAGUGAAAUGCGUAGAGAUCAUGAGGAAGACCAGUGGCGAAGGCGGGUCUCUGGACAGUUCCUGACACUGAGACACGAAGGCUAGGGGAGCAAACGGG
rnacentral:rRNA from 1 species